rnacentral:rRNA from 1 species
CAGCAGCCGCGGUAAUACGUAGGGGGCAAGCGUUAUCCGGAUUUACUGGGUGUAAAGGGAGCGUAGACGGCAUGGCAAGCCAGAUGUGAAAGCCCGGGGCUCAACCCCGGGACUGCAUUUGGAACUGUCAGGCUAGAGUGUCGGAGAGGAAAGCGGAAUUCCUAGUGUAGCGGUGAAAUGCGUAGAUAUUAGGAGGAACACCAGUGGCGAAGGCGGCUUUCUGGACGAUGACUGACGUUGAGGCUCGAAAGCGUGGGGAGCAAACAGGAUUAGAUACCCUGGUAGUCCACGCGGUAAACGAUGAAUGCUAGGUGUCGGGUGACAAAGUCAUUCGGUGCCGCCGCAAACGCAUUAAGCAUUCCACCUGGGGAGU